rnacentral:lncRNA from 13 species
UUUAGAGAUAAUAGCUGCUGAGUGGCCUUUCUUACAAGAAACCGAUUGUUUCUUUCAACACUGUUCUCGAUUAUUAGGGAAAAAUGUUGUUCAAGUCUGGACAAAUUCACUUAGUAACAAGACGAAAUCCAUACGGCAAUAUUUCAAACAUUCACAGAAAAAAAAAGCAAAUGAAAUAAAUGAGAUUAUAAACGACUGCAAAACAGCUGUUCAAAUAAGGAAGGAUAAAAUACCAAAACUAUUAGUGAUUUUCCGAUUAUUAAUCUUUUAUUUCAAUGAAAAGGAAAAUUUUCUUUUUAAAAUAAUUGGAAAUGACGUUGAUGAUGCUGAUGUAAUAAAUGCUGCUGACACUGAGUAUCCUGUGCUUAUCAUCAGAGGAAAAUCAUUAUACGACGAGAAUGCAAAA